AAGAAAUCUUGAACCAUUUAGUCCUGUGUUAUAUCUUAUGCACUGAUAGGUCCCGGUUGAGUUUAAAAGACAUAAGUGUCCAUGAUGUUGGCGCGUGUGGUGUAUAAUUGGUGGGUAAUCUAGGAUUGAACACUGUUGAAAUUACAUUUAUAUCCAAAAACUUACUAUUGCGUGUUUUUGGUUUCCCUUCUUUCCGAUCAUCUCGGAAGAGAUGAAUAUGGAAAAUCUGUGAUUUUCAAUGUUUAAUCCAUUGGAAUGGGGUAUGUGUAAAAGUUCCUAGCUUUGGUAAUGUUAAACCGUCUUUCAGAGUUGCCAAUUUGGGUUUUGCGUCAUUGAAACCCUAGAAAUAGGAAUCGACGUUUGGUGUAAUCGAUUUGCUUGAUAUUGGCAAGGGGUUUGCGGCAAUACUGCGGUAGUGAGUUAAAAGCGGCAUUGGAUUUCUUCCGAGAUGACAUCAGUGUUGGAUGGCAUACUGGAAAUGUAGUGAUUGUGGUAGGAUACCUCGGCGGAACGCAUCAUUGAAGUCGUCUACAAAAUUGGCAACAAGGAGACAAACCUAGUUGGCCUUCAAGAACAAAAAUAAUAGUGGAAUAAGUGUUGUUAAACGUGUUGUUGACCCGUCGAGGUUGAUGUACCUAUCCAAUUUAGCUGGAGUGAUAAGUAUAGUGUUGGAGUUGGAAUUGGAAAUGUUAAAAACUUACCUUCCACGUUGAUACCCGCACAUCAACAACAAGAAUCCCUCUGAAUCUGCCCCCUAAGGGUAAAAUGUAAACCCCAUCCAUACCAAAUGAAAGGAAAUAUUCCUUAACAAGAAAA